rnacentral:rRNA from 1 species
CCUACGGGAGGCAGCAGUGAGGAAUAUUGGACAAUGGGCGCAAGCCUGAUCCAGCCAUGCCGCGUGCAGGAAGAAGCAUCUAUGGUGUGUAAACUGCUUUUGUACAGGAAGAAACACUCCCUCGUGAGGGAGCUUGACGGUACUGUAAGAAUAAGGACCGGCUAACUCCGUGCCAGCAGCCGCGGUAAUACGGAGGGUCCGAGCGUUAUCCGGAAUCAUUGGGUUUAAAGGGUCCGUAGGCGGUUUAAUAAGUCAGUGGUGAAAUCUGGUCGCUCAACGAUCAAACGGCCAUUGAUACUGUUAGACUUGAAUUAUAAGGAAGUAACUAGAAUAUGUAGUGUAGCGGUGAAAUGCUUAGAUAUUACAUGGAAUACCAAUUGCGAAGGCAGGUUACUACUUAUGGAUUGACGCUGAUGGACGAAAGCGUGGGGAGCGAACAGGAUUAGAUACCCUGGUAGUCCACGCCGCAAACGAUGGAUACUAGCUGUUCGGAGCAAUCUGAGUGGCUAAGCGAAAAGUGAUAAGUAUCCCACCUGGGGAGUACGUUCGCAAGAAUGAAACUCAAAGGAAAUUGACGG